GCCGGCAGUUAGCUCUCUGCAACUCUCACAUGAUCGCCCACUGAAGCUAAGCAAAGCUGCGCCUGGUCACUACGUGGAUGGGACACCACAUGGGAAAGCUAGGUUGCCGCCGGAA
ensembl:rRNA 5S_rRNA 5S ribosomal RNA